rfam:Homo sapiens chromosome 20, GRCh38 reference primary assembly.
GCUGGGCAUGGUGGUGUGCGCCUGUAGUCCCAGCUACUUGGGAGGCUGAGGUGGGAGGAUCGCUUGAGCCUAGGAGGUCACGGCUGCAGUGAGUUGAGAUCACACCACUGCACCCCAGCCUGGGUGAAAAAGUGAGACCCUGUCUCAA